AAUCAACGCUGGCGGCGUGCCUAACACAUGCAAGUCGAACGAGAAAGCGGGGGGCAACUCCGUGAGUAAAGUGGCAGACGGGUGAGUAACACGUGAACAACCUACCCUUGAGUGGGGAAUAACACCGCGAAAGCGGUGCUAAUACCGCAUAACAUCCUUGGACUGCAUGGUCUGAGGAUCAAAAAGCGAAAGUUGCUUAAGGGAGGGGUUCGCGCCUGAUUAGCUAGUUGGUGAGGUAACGGCCCACCAAGGCAACGAUCAGUAGCCGGCCUGAGAGGGCGAACGGCCACACUGGAACUGAGACACGGUCCAAACUCCUACGGGUGGCAG
rnacentral:rRNA from 1 species